GAGGAAUAUUGGGCAAUGCCCGCAAGGGUGACCCAGCAACGCCGCGUGGAGGAUGAAUGUCGUAAGAUUGUAAACUCCUGUUAGAGGGGAAGAAUAGUACCGGUUGGACCGGUAUAUGACUGUACCCUCAGAGAAAGCCCCGGCUAACUACGUGCCAGCAGCCGCGGUAAUACGUAGGGGGCAAGCGUUGUCCGGAUUUACUGGGUGUAAAGGGCGCGCAGGCGGGAUAAAAAGUCAGUGGUGAAAUCCUACAGCUUAACUGUAGAACUGCCUUUGAUACUUUUAUUCUUGAGUUCGGGAGAGAGAGACGGAAUUCCAGGUGUAGUGGUGAAAUACGUAGAUAUCUGGAAGAACACCUGUUGCGAAGGCGGUCUCUUGGUCCGACACUGACGCUGAGGCGCGAAAGCGUGGGGAGCAAACA
rnacentral:rRNA from 1 species